rnacentral:tRNA from 1 species
GCGGGUAUGAUGAAAUUGGUAAACAUGCUGGAUUUAGGUUCCAGUGCCGUAAGGCUUGUGGGUUCGAGUCCCACUACCCGUACCA